UGUUACGGACGAAAAGCAGAAUUAAGAAUAAAGAAACAAGCAUCGAAAAUAAACAAAACCAAAAAAAAAAACAACAACGAAAAAUAAAGUGUAACACUCACUGCUUUAAUCAAGUUCAAGAAACCAGUUCGGAAGCAACAAGCGUCAAGCGUCAUUUCAAAUACCAACCGUCACACUGCUGAUCAGCUGGCUUAUUUCGUUGACGUUGCUUUGUGGAUACCUUUAUUGGUUGUGGAGCAGAGAGUGGGAGUGCUAAAGUAAGUGUGGAAAGCAAUGCAUAGAAUGCUGGAAGUGCAUACAUACGAUUAUGUAUGUGUGGGUACUGAAACACUUGAUUACUCAACAUCAUUCAAUGGAGUUACAAAGCAAAUAGUAGGUAGAUAGCAGUCGCAACCCAACAAACAGACAUACCUACUUAACAACAAACAAAUAAACUCGAAGCUGCAGUGAAGAGCGCACGAGAGUACCGCAGAGAACCAGUGAGCUGGGUACUGAAUAGGGUCUAUAGUAGUAAACUUCAUAUAGGGAAACCGGCUACAAGUGUGCAGUCAACACAUGCACAUACAAUACAUACACAUACAUACGCACGUGUGGGCACGAAGGGACGGUACUUGCUGUUAAACAAAAAUGAGUAUUAAGUAGCAAUAAAAAAUGAAUAAAAUGAAAUAAUGAUCAACUAA